rnacentral:lncRNA from 1 species
CGACGAAAUGGCGGCGGGGCCGGGGGAACUGGGAGGUGUCGCAGCGCGCACUCCUUGUUACUGCGCGGACUGAGGCCAGAGUGGCAGGGGAAUAGGAGGGGGCAAAGUCUGUGACGUGAGAGAACGGCUAGCUCAUUGGCUGAAACCGAUGGACGAGAAUGGAGAAAGCCGGGAGGAGAAGCCGGAACCAAGGCGGAGAGCAGGGGUGCGCAUGCGUAGGGAGGGCACGCGUGUCCCCGCCCCCUUCCCCAGAGGGGCGGAACGGAGGCCUUAAGUGACGUUAGUCAUUGUGCUAGAGGUAACUAGGGACCGCGGCGAAGGGGCGGGCUCGAGCUGACGAACAGGAUACGUCGAAGCUGCAUAAAUUCUCAGCUACUACAACAGAAGCUGCCUGCUUCCUGCCGCCAUGCUCCCCACCAAGGUUGCCAUGGGCUCACCCUCUGAACGCACUCCACAGACAGAAUUCAAGGCCAGCCUGAUGUAUGUAACAAGUUCCAGGCCAGCAAGAGUUACAUGAUGAGACCCUACCCAGUGAUUGUAAGAAUUCCAAAAUUCAGGAUAACAAUGCGGUCAAGAGACUUCAUGUACCUUCUCAUUGGAAACAGUGUCAGAUGAAGGACAGUGCUGUCUUCCUUUUACCAUGUGCAGCAGUGAUGGCUGCUGGGUUUACAGUGGAGCACCAACUCUGCAGCACAGCAGGAAAUGAAACAAUCAUCCUGCCGAGUCAGGACAGAAUGACGCCCUGGUAGGGACAGAAUGACACCUUGGUAGGGACAGAAUGGCAUGGCUCUGGCCCUGGGACAGGGCCAGCAGGUAUGGGCUUAAGACUUGUUUGUAUAAUAAUGUACAUAUUUUUACAUUUCUCUGAGGAAUGUCCUCCCUGCUAACAACAUUAAUAACUCCAUGAUAACCAGAGACAGCAUGAGUCUGGGAGGUCUCAGCAUAUUGGUAAAAGCUGGGACCUUUAGGACAGCCCUUAAGGCUGUGGAAAAGAACUCUAAAAACAUGAGUUUGAAAAUAUAUAAUUUCUCAACUAUGCAAAAAUACAAGGAUGUAAUAUGAAUUGCAUAAGGGGCUUCACAGAUCUAAAGGAACAGAGGCAGCUGAACUGUGAGACAGCUUGUGAGGAAGACACUAAGGAAAUAAAGAGUGGUGAUCGAAAGCUGAGAUCACACUCAGCUAAGUUUGGGUUUUGUUUUGUUUUCUGUUUAGGCUUACAAAUACACGCAGUUUCCUGAGCUCAGGGUCAGCCUGGGACAGAGAUAGUUUAGGUCCAGGUGUGGUCAGAAUGGCACUCUCAGGGUAAGAUUACUCUCAGGGUAAAGCUAGAAUUACAAAGGCAGGCCGAUCUCUGAAUUCUUUUGCAAUGUUUAAAAAAAAAAAGUACUUGUUAUUCUUUUCCUAAGAAUCAAAGAGCCUGGGUUAUAGGAUGCUGGUUCAUAGGAUAAUCUAGAAUAAAGAACUGAAUGUGUAAAUAAAAAAUUGGAUUUUUGGUCUGCAUGACCCAAGCUAGCAGAAAGUGGCAGCAGUCCUUCGGGUCUCAGCAUGUAGCCCUGCCUGGAAAUCCUGCCUCAGAGUCUCAAGUGCUGGGUGACAGGUUUGAGUCACCGUAAGUGCUGAUGUAUCUAUCCCCAGAAACAAAAAGGAGGCCCCGUCCCAUAGCUAAUAUCCGCAGAGAUGUCUGCACCUCACUUUGGCAAACACAGCCACUCCAACCCAGCAAUGCCACUUCCAGGAAUUGAUCCUCACAAACAGAGUAGCUCUGACAUAGGAGUUAUUUAUUGCAGUGUGGUUUGUGAUAUUAAUGUAGAAAUACAUUCCAUCAAUAAAGAUCUUUCAGUUAACAUUAGUCAC